AUCUUCAUUCAAUUCAAUCAUAAUCAGACAAACAAAACAAGCGUGAAUGUGUGUUUGUGUUGAUGAUAUGAUUGGCGAUGAUAACAUCACCACAACCAACCAUCAACACCCCUACUCAUUUUGCAAUGAUCCUUCCGCAGGUUCACCUACGGAAA
rnacentral:misc_RNA from 1 species